rnacentral:rRNA from 1 species
AUUGAACGCUGGCGGCAGGCCUAACACAUGCAAGUCGAGCGGAGCGGCGGACGGGUGAGUAAUGACUAGGAAUCAGCCUGGUAGUGGGGGAUAACGUUCGGAAACGGGCGCUAAUACCGCAUACUAUCAGAAGAGCCUAGGUCGGAUUUGCUAGGUGGUGGGGUAAAGGCCUAACAAGGCGACGAUCCGUAACUGGUCUGAGAGGAUGAUCAGUCACACUGGAACUGAGACACGGUCCAGACUCCUACGAGAGGCAGCAGUGGGGAUUAUUGGGCAAGUGGCGAAAGCCUGAGCCGGCCAUGCCGCGUGUGUGAAUAAGGUCUUCGGGUUGUAAAGCACUUUAAGUUGUGAGGCGUUACCAACAGAAUAAGCACCGUCUAACUUCGUGCCAGCAGCCGCGGUAAUAC